CCUGUCCGUGUGUGUGGCUCAGCCUGGGCUCCGCGGCCUCCCCUUGCACCGGACGUGGACCCAGGCUGCCGUUGGGCAAGAUAGAGGACUGAGCCAAGGCACAAACGGCUGGCCAGGGAAACUGCUCCCUGGGCGCCUGGAGGUCCAUAUUGAGAGCGUCCUGCCAGCCAUGAGAGAUCACCUUCCCCUGAUGCAGAGGCAGACCUCUCCCCCUUGAGGCCCAGUGGACACCUGGCUCAGGUCCCAACUGUGUGCCCUGGACACACAGAGCCCCAGAUCUCUGGCACAGACUGGGGUGUGGUUGUGUCGGGGCAGAAAAGGCCCAGGCUGCUUAUGUACGUUUGGAGGGCCAGGUUCAAAGACUCUGCAUCCAUCCAGGACAAUAGCAUCAAGAGAAGAACAGACAGAGCAGAAGGAGAUCUGGGGUUUCCCCCAGGAAUGAGGUGGAACAGGGAUUUCUGCAGAUUUGCAAGGCGUCCCCUACCACUGAGCAUGGGGUUACAACCCCACGUGACUACCGUCGUGUUUGGCUUGGGCUCUGGAUCUGGCCUGCUCAUUUAUUCUUCCAGCUGAGUUCCAGAAACUCAGAGGGUGGACUUUGAGGGGCUGCGUUUGGAACCUAGUGAGGAGCUGGAUGGUCCUUUAUAUUGAGUCCCUUCAGCCUAAUCACCGUAGCUGAAUCCCAACACCCCCCAGGCACCCAGGGUGGCUGUGGAGGGAGAGAAAGCCUGGCAGGCGACCUAGGGGUCCCACUGCUCUGUCCCUCCCUUGUCUUCAUUCCCUUUCACCCCAGAAGGUGUGAUUGUCUCGUGUCAUGGUGGCCGCCGUAGUGUCCCUCCCAGCAAUCUCUCUUCUCCAUCAGGUGGGGUUCCCAACCCCACUCAGCCUUCUCUCUGCAUGGAUGCUGAAGGACCAGGACCACCUGAAUUUCUGAGCUUGAGCAGUAAGGUGGAAAAAAAGAAACCAAUGGAAACAAAGAAACAAGUUAUUGUGGCAAAACUGCCCACCACAGAGAAGCUGCCCUGAGUGGAAGGGAGGGUGUGGGCAUGCCCAUUUGUUUCCUGUCUCCCAGUGCUCUUAGCUUUCUUAUUGCAGACCUGCAUGGUUACAACAAAAUGAUCUGCAAAACUGAAAAUAUUUACUCUCUCGCUUUUACAGAAAAGGCUGGUCAGCCUCUGGUCCGGUACCAGGCAAGUGAUUGGAGUCCCUUUCCAGUUUGGAAACAUCUGGGCAGGCCCAGCUGAUAAGGUUACUUUUCUACUUUGAACAAGCAAACAAGCCAACAGAAGAGAAGUUUCACAAGCAACUCCCAGCACAUCCGCUCACCUAGUGUUGUCUGUGACCUCACUCUCGGUGCCCCACCUCUUAUUACAGAUUGAACAGGGUCCAGGGGGAAGGACCAAGCCUGUCCCAUCGGCCAUCCUAUGUGUCAUGUCCUGGGACCCAGUGGAUGCUCAGCACCUGAAGAAGAUUGUCUUAGACACAUGGAAGCUGAGGACGCCUACUGUCCCCUCGGAACCCAGGUGGGGCUGGGAGUCUGCUGUUUGUAUAGCCGGUGGGCUCGUGUUGCUUUGGGCAUCCCUGUGUCUGAAUUCCUGCAGUACACUCGGUGGUUUUACCUGAACCACCAGCUUCUGCAUCUCUGAAGACAGAUGAUGAGGACCCUUCACGUAAGCCGUUCGCACAGCCCUGUGCAGGCCUUUGUGCUGCACGUUCUGCCCGGCGAGAUAACUGAGUGCAUUCCAUGGUGCAUCCUCGCCUAGAAUUGAGUGGAAGCAAGUCCAUCUCAGAAGGGACAUAACUGAAGAGGGAUGGCUUUCCAGACUCUGAUGGGCAGCGAGAGCUGCAGCCUGGCCCUGUGUAAAACAUGAAGCGUGGACGGCCUGUUGAGCACAGCUCUGCCCUCAAGACCUGUUUCAACUCCUCUCUUCCCGGAAAACAGCAUCUCUGAGCCCGCCCUUGGUGACCUCAGAGAGAUCACCCUAGUGGCCCAGGCUAGUGACCGGGAACAUGUACCUUCCUGCAGCCAACCCCAGACGUCCACUGAUGCAUCAUAUACUGGCAAAGAUCCUGGCCUAGGGGGGCCUUGGCCGCUGGAGAUUCGCCAGAUGUUGGACUCCAGGUAAGCUUGCUCCUGGGAGGUGGGGCGGUUAGGUCAGGGGGCAGCGGCAGCGACAGGGGGGCGGAGCGCGGCUGCCUCUGGCGAACUGUUGGAAUAGCUGCCUUCUCCCGGCUGCCGGGCCUGGGAGCGGCCUCUGCUGCCCCUGGUCACCGUACACGCCUGUCCCGCUCAGCUUGCUGAGUGGGGACGGUGCCAUUAAUGUGCGGGGCCCACGGGGUUAGGGGGGCUGCCGCGCGGAAGCCGGUCAGUUCGCUCAGCUCUCCCCCGCGGCGGAGCCAGUGGCAGCUUCUGCUGCCGUAGAGGCGGGACGCCGGUCUCCAGGUGAGCUUGCCCCUGGGAGGCGGCGGCGGCGGCUGCAGGGGGAGGGGGUCCGUUCCAGGGAGCUGCUCCAUUUCUUCUGUCCCGCGCGGCCUGGCCUGAGGGCGACCUCUGCCGCCGGAGAUUUGCCUGCGGUCCGACUCCAGGUGAGGUUGCACCUGGGAGAUGGGUGCGGUGCAGUCAGGGGGCUGGUAAGGUGGUGGCUGCGGGGAUAGGGAGGCUGCCCCGGGGGAGCUUGUGUAUUAGCUCCCAUGUCUGUGCCGCGUGGCCUGCAGGCGGCCUCUGCUGCGCCAGGUCCCCGGACACCCCUGUCCCACUUUGCCUGCUGGGGGCGGGAGGCAGGGUAGUCAGGGUACACGGGUGGCGGGGGU